AACGAACGCUGGCGGCAUGCCUAACACAUGCAAGUCGAACGAGACCUUCGGGUCUAGUGGCGCACGGGUGCGUAACGCGUGGGAACAUGCACUUAGGUUCGGAAUAACUCCCCGAAAGGGGUGCUAAUACCGGAUAAUGUCUUCGGACCAAAGAUUUAUCGCCUUUGGAUGGGCACGCGUUGGAUUAGCUAGUUGGUAGGGUAAAAGCCUACCAAGGCGACGAUCCAUAGCUGGUCUGAGAGGAUGAUCAGCCACACUGGGACUGAGACACGGCCCAGACUCCUACGGGAGGCAGCAGUGGGGAAUAUUGGACAAUGGGCGAAAGCCUGAUCCAGCAAUGCCGCGUGAGUGAUGAAGGCCUUAGGGUUGUAAAGCUCUUUUACCCGGGAUGAUAAUGACAGUACCGGGAGAAUAAGCUCCGGCUAACUCCGUG
rnacentral:rRNA from 1 species